UUCUGUGCCUUUUAAGGACGUUUAUGCCUUAUUCUGCACCAUUUAAGGACAUUUAUUCCUUAUUCUAUGUCCUUUAAGGACGUUUAUUCCUUAUUCUGUGUCCUUCAAGGAUGUUUAUUCCUUAUUCUGUGUCCUUCAAGGACGUUUAUUCCUUAUUCUGUGUCCUUUAAGGACGUUUAUUCCUUAUUCUAUGCCCUUUAAAGAAGGUUUCUUCUUUAUUCUACGCCCUUGAAGGACAUUUAUUCUUUAUUCUGCGCCCUUUAAAGAAGGUUUAUUCUUUACUCUGCACCCUUUAAGGAAAGUUUAUUCUUCAUUUUAUGCCCUUUAAGGACAUUUAUUCUUUUUCCUACAACCUUUAAGGAAGGUUUAUUUAUUCUACACCUUUUAAGGAAGGCUUAUUCUUUAUCCUACACCCCUCAAGGAAGGUAUAUUCCUUAUCCCAUGCCCCUUAAGCAAGGUUUAUUCUUUAUUUUACGCCCUUUAAGGAAGAUUUAUUUAUUCUACGCUUUUUAAGGAAGGUUUCUUCUUUAUUCUACACCAUUUAAAGAUGUUUAUUCUUUAUUCUACGCCCUUUAAGGACGUUUAUUCCUUAUUCUACAGCCUUUAAGGACAUUUAUGCCUUAUUCUAUGUCCUUUAAGGACGUUUAUGCCUUAUUCUACGUCCUUUAAAGAAGAUUUCUUCUUUAUUCUGCGCCCUUUAAAGAAGGGUUAUUCUUUACUCUGCACCCUUUAAGGAAAGUUUAUUCUUCAUUUUAUGCCCUUUAAGGACAUUUAUUCUUUUUCCUACAACCUUUAAGGAUGGCUUAUUUUUUGUCCUUCACCCCUUAAGGAAGGUAUAUUCCUUAUCCCAUGCCCCUUAAGCAAGGUUUAUUCUUUAUUUUACGCCCUUUAAGGAAGAUUUAUUUAUUCUACGCUUUUUAAGGAAGGUUUCUUCUUUAUUCUACACCAUUUAAAGACGUUUAUUCUUUAUUCUACGCCCUUGAAGGACGUUUAUGCCUUAUUCUACAGCCUUGAAGGAUGUUUAUGCCUUAUUCUAUGUCCUUUAAGGAUGUUCAUGCCUUAUUCUGCACCCUUUAAGGACGUUUAUGCCUUAUUCUACAUCCUUUAAAGAAGGUUUCUUCUUUAUUCUACGCCCUUGAAGGACAUUUAUUCUUUUUUUCUACACCCUUGAAGGAUGUUUAUCCUACACCUUUUAAAGAAGGUUUCUUCUUUCUUCUGCGCCCUUUAAAGAAGGGUUAUUCUUUACUC